rnacentral:rRNA from 1 species
GACGAACGCUGGCGGCGUGCUUAACACAUGCAAGUCGAACGAAGAGCGAUGGAAGCUUGCUUCUAUCAAUCUUAGUGGCGAACGGGUGAGUAACGCGUAAUCAACCUGCCCUUCAGAGGGAGACAACAGUUGGAAACGACUGCUAAUACCGCAUACGAUCUAAUCUCGGCAUCGAGGAUAGAUGAAAGGUGGCCUCUACAUGUAAGCUAUCACUGAAGGAGGGGAUUGCGUCUGAUUAGCUAGUUGGAGGGGUAACGGCCCACCAAGGCGAUGAUCAGUAGCCGGUCUGAGAGGAUGAACGGCCACAUUGGGACUGAGACACGGCCCAGACUCCUACGGGAGGCAGCAGUGGGGAAUCUUCCGCAAUGGACGAAAGUCUGACGGAGCAACGCCGCGUGAGUGAUGACGGCCUUCGGGUUGUAAAGCUCUGUUAAUCGGGACGAAAGGCCUUCUUGCGAAUAGUGAGAAGGAUUGACGGUACCGGAAUAGAAAGCCACGGCUAACUACGUG